GAAAGACCUCAGGUCGGAAGGUCUUCAGGUCGGGAGGUCCUCAAGACGGAAAGACCUCAGGUCGGAAGGUCUUCAGGUCGGGAGGUCCUCAAGACGGAAAGUCAUCAGGACGGAAGGACCUCAGGUCGGUAGGUCCUCAAGACGGAAAGACCUCAAGUCGGAAGGUUUUCAGGUCGGGAGGUCCUCAAGACGGAAAGACCUCAAGUCGGAAGGUUUUCAGGUCGGGAGGUCCUCAAGACGGAAAGACCUCAAGUCGGAAGGUUUUCAGGUCGGGAGGUCCUCAAGACGGAAAGACCUCAAGUCGGAAGGUUUUCAGGUCGGGAGGUCCUCAAGACGGAAAGACCUCAAGUCGGAAGGUUUUCAGGUCGGGAGGUCCUCAAGACGGAAAGACCUCAAGUCGGAAGGUUUUCAGGUCGGG